CAAAAGAAGUAGCUCAGUAAUUAGAGACAAGGGUUUAUACACCUAACUUAAUAGGGAGAAUGCAGGGAGGAGAAAAGGGAAGAUCAAACGGUUUCUUCAGGAAAGAGAAAUGGGUUUUUAGGGGAACAAACAGGAGCCACUGGAAUGCACUACUAUGAAUGGUCCUGCACAUGAUCCUGUACAGCACAAGACAAAACAAAUUCCAUUUUAGAGGAUACUCUUGGUUCCUUGCAAAUGGCAGGAAAUAAUAAAUACUGAAAUGCUUUUUCAAGGCCGAAUGAGGAACUGAAGAUAACCCUGAGAUCCUGCCUCCUAAACCAGAGGGCAUGGAUGGUGGCACUGAAGGCAUUGUCCUGCUUUCUAAUCCAACUGAUCCAGUGAACACUCUGAUGGGCAGGGGUUGUUUCAUUCUGACGAGGCUCAGCAGCUGGUUACUCGUGACGAU